GUCGGUCUUCGGUAGUGGUCUUCCGGACACGGUCCGGGGGACUUCGAUCGACGGCCGCC
ncrna:Rhodococcus jostii RHA1 Actino-pnp RNA